rnacentral:rRNA from 1 species
UACGGGGGGGGCAAGCGUUGUUCGGAAUUACUGGGCGUAAAGGGCUCGUAGGCGGCCAACUAAGUCAUACGUGAAAUCCCUCGGCUUAACCGGGGAACUGCGUCUGAUACUGGAUGGCUUGAGUUCGGGAGAGGGAUGCGGAAUUCCAGGUGUAGCGGUGAAAUGCGUAGAUAUCUGGAGGAACACCGGUGGCGAAGGCGG